GAACGCGUGUAGCAAUACACCGAGUGGCGCACGGGUGAGUAACACGUGGAUAUCUGCCUUCUGGUUCGGAAUAACCCUGGGAAACUAGGGCUAAUACCGGAUGGUUCCUACGGGAUAAAGAUUUAUCGCCAAAAGAUGAGUCCGCGUCCGAUUAGCUAGUUGGUGAGGUAAUGGCUCACCAAGGCAACGAUCGGUAGCUGGUCUGAGAGGACGAUCAGCCACACUGGGACUGAGACACGGCCCAGACUCCUACGGGAGGCAGCAGUGGGGAAUAUUGGACAAUGGGGGCAACCCUGAUCCAGCCAUGCCGCGUGAGUGAUGAAGGCCUUCGGGUUGUAAAGCUCUUUUGGCGGGGACGAUGAUGACGGUACCCGCAGAAUAAGCCCCGGCUAACUUCGUG
rnacentral:rRNA from 1 species